rnacentral:lncRNA from 1 species
AAAAAUAUAAAAAAUUCAAAAGAAUAUUCAUUUAAAUUGCAAAUAACAUCAAUAAUAUAUAAAACAUAAUCAUCAUUGUACCUAACAUAAAAAGAUUCAUAUUCUAAUUAAUAACAACAAAAUACAUAGCUACUUAAAAAGAGUCAUCCUUCUAACAUUUUGUGAAACAAAUUCAUCGACCAAAUCUUCAAAUUGUAUACUCUCCAAAAGAUCAUUUUCAAUUGCUAUCAUUGCUAAACCAUUAAGUCUUUCUUGUAACAUAGUAGACCGCAAAUAAGACUUCAAUAACUUCAGUUUUGAAAAACUUCUUUCUGCUGAGGCAACUGUCACGGGGAUCGUCAAUAAAAUUCUAUAAGCAAUAAUUGUAUUAGGAAAACAACUCAUGUCUUUCAAAAAUCUUAAUAUAUCAACAGG